rnacentral:rRNA from 1 species
CUACGGAGGGUGCAAGCGUUAAUCGGAAUUACUGGGCGUAAAGCGUACGUAGGCGGUUCGUUAAGUUAGAUGUGAAAGCCCCGGGCUUAACCUGGGAACUGCAUUUAAAACUGGCUAACUAGAGUUAAGUAGAGGGGAGUGGAAUUUCAGGUGUAGCGGUGAAAUGCGUAGAGAUCUGAAGGAACACCAGUGGCGAAGGCGACUCCCUGGACUUGAACUGACGCUGAGGUACGAAAGCGUGGGUAGCAAACGGGAUUAGAAACCCGAGUAGUCC